rnacentral:rRNA from 1 species
AAUAAACGCUGGCGGCGUGCCUAACACAUGCAAGUCGAGCGAGAAAGCUCCUUCGGGAGUGAGUACAGCGGCGAACGGGUGAGCAACGCGUGGGGAUCUACCCUUCAGUGAAGAAUACCCUUGAGAAAUCGAGGUUAAUACUGCAUACGUCCUGUAAAGGAGAAAGAUGGCCUCUUUGCUGUCGUUGAAGGAUGAGCCUGCGUACUAUUAGCUAGUUGGUAGGGUAACGGCCUACCAAGGCGAUGAUGGUUAACCGGCCUGAGAGGGUGUACGGUCACACUGGAACUUAGACACGGUCCAGACUCCUACGGGAGGCAGCAGUGGGGAAUCUUGGACAAUGGGGGAAACCCUGAUCCAGCGAUGCCGCGUGUGUGAAGAAGGCCUUCGGGUUGUAAAGCACUUUAAGUGGGGAAGAAAGGUAUCAAGUGAAUAACUUGGUGCUAUGACGGUACCCGCAGAAUAAGCACCGGCUAACUCUGUGCCAGCAGCCGCCGUAA